AUGAAGGCCUUAGGGUCGUAAAGCACUUUCGCCUGUGAUGAUAAUGACUGUAGCAGGUAAAGAAACCCCGGCUAACUCCGUGCCAGCAGCCGCGGUAAUACGGAGGGGGUUAGCGUUGUUCGGAAUUACUGGGCGUAAAGCGCGCGUAGGCGGGUUGGAAAGUUGGGGGUGAAAUCCCGGGGCUCAACCCCGGAACUGCCUCCAAAACUCCCAGUCUAGAGGUCGAGAGAGGUGAGUGGAAUUCCGAGUGUAGAGGUGAAAUUCGUAGAUAUUCGGAGGAACACCAGUGGCGAAGGCGGCUCACUGGCUCGAUACUGACGCUGAGGUGCGAAAGUGUGGGGAGCAAACAGGAUUAGAUACCCUGGUAGUCCACACCGUAAACGAUGAAUGCCAGUCGUCGGGGAGCUUGCUCUUCGGUGACACACCUAACGCUUUAAGCAUUCCGCCUGGGGAGUACGGUCGCAAGAUUAAAACUCAAG
rnacentral:rRNA from 1 species